GCUCCGGUGGCCUAGUGGUUAGAGCGACCGCUUCGGAUGCGGGAGGUAUUUGGUUCAAUCCACGGUCGAGGCA